rnacentral:rRNA from 1 species
GAUGAACGCUGGCGGCGUGCCUAAUACAUGCAAGUCGAGCGAAGCGGCGGAUGGGUGAAUAACGCGUGGGUAACCUGCUCUUAAGUCUGGGAUACCACUUGGAAACAGUUGCUUCUACCGGAUCCUAAAGGAUGGACUUGCGAUGCAUUAGCUAGUUGGUAAGGUAACGGCUUACCAAGGCGAUGAUGCAUAGCCGAGGUGAGAGACUGAUCGGCCACAUUGGGACUGAGACACGGCCCAAACUCCUACGGGAGGCAGCAGUAGGGAAUCUUCCACAAUGGACGAAAGUCUGAUAGAGCAACGCCGCGUGAGUGAAGAAGGUUUUCGGAUCGUAAAGCUCUGUUGUUGGUGAAGCGGUAAUCAACCAGAAAGUCACGGCUAACUACGUGCCAGCAGCCGCGGUAAUUC